rnacentral:rRNA from 1 species
GUGCACGCUGGCGGUAGGCCUAACACAUGCAAGUCGAACGGCAGCACCGUAAGCGCUUGCUCUUACGGGUGGCGAGUGGCGGACGGGUGAGGAAUACAUCGGAAUCUACUUUUUCGUGGGGGAUAACGUAGGGAAACUUACGCUAAUACCGCAUACGACCUACGGGUGAAAGCAGGGGAUCUUCGGACCUUGCGCGAUUGAAUGAGCCGAUGUCGGAUUAGCUAGUUGGCGGGGUAAAGGCCCACCAAGGCGACGAUCCGUAGCUGGUCUGAGAGGAUGAUCAGCCACACUGGAACUGAGACACGGUCCAGACUCCUACGGGAGGCAGCAGUGGGGAAUAUUGGACAAUGGGCGCAAGCCUGAUCCAGCCAUACCGCGUGGGUGAAGAAGGCCUUCGGGUUGUAAAGCCCUUUUGUUGGGAAAGAAAAGCAGCAGGUUAAUACCCCGCUGUUCUGACGGUACCCAAAGAAUAAGCACCGGCUAACUUCGUG